rnacentral:misc_RNA from 1 species
GGAAAGCAAGCAUUCAGCUAACAAGAACAACAAUAUAAUAGCCACAAGCAUGAACAGUGAGACAAAUGUUCAAUAAAAACAUGUGAAGGAGGACGACUGUGAAAGGAACGAAAAGAAACCAGGAUGGGGGGGAACUACAGAAACAUGGGACUCGAUCAAUGCAAAACCAUUGAAAAUAAAUCAUGCAAACCACCACAAGUCACACAAGUUUUGCACAGAAGGACAAACAAACAAACUGCAUUGUUCAUCCAAAAAAACAUAAAAAGCUAAUUGAUGCAGCAUGACAUACACCUACAUACAUACAUACUGGUAGCCAUAGGAUCCUAUAUAAUAAUAAGAUUACAAGCACAAAAUUGCAUCAAACGCAGAGAAUGACUUGCUGGUACAAAUAUGCACUUAACACUUGGGAAAAUACAAUUCAUUUUAACACAACACAUUCUGAAGUUAUGGUAUCACCCAUUAAUCUAGGAGUGUAGUCAUUAGCAAACAAAAAUUAGUUAUGCAUUCCAGAUCAAAUCUUACGCAAAAAUGAGCAAAUGGACCAAAAUAUUUGACCCCUAAAAAUGUCAGCUGAACAAAAUAUAAUAAAAAAAAAUACAGUUAGUCCAAAUGUCCACAAGUUCCAUUAAAUUAGCCUUUCAAAUACGCCCAAUAUCUUAUUCAUUUUUAUUUUAUUUAAAGAUCUGAAAACUGACAGAAAUAAAAAAUGCUUUUACCAGGAUGACAAAUUAGAUCAAGGCAUUUUAUUUGCUCUUUACUUGCCAAAAGUAAAAGAAAACUAUA